CUGCCAUGAGACCGUGCUGGUUGUAGCUGUCAUGAUUGUGGGUUCUGUUAUGUUCUGUUUCCUGUUUUAUUUUGAAGUCCUUCUUGUCUCCCUUGUCUUGUUUGGUUUACUUCCUGUCUUUAAUUUUCCCUCCCUUGUGAUUACCCUAAUGUGUUUCACCUGUUUGCCCAGCCUAGUGUCACCUGUCCCUUGUUAGUCCUCGUUACCUGGUUUAUUUAGUCUCUGUGGUGUCUUUGUCGGAUCAUUUUAUUCUGUUGAUGUUCUUCUCUGUGCUGUUGUGGAGUCUGUUUCUUUUGUUUGUUCCUGCCUGGCUACUCGUCUGAGGACUUUGUCACUUCCUGGAAGGAUCCACAAGAAACAUUAAAAUUUUCAGAAAAAUCUCCAGUGAGAUAGCGCAAAUGGGGGUUUACCACACGGGCAAGCAGUGCAGAGAGAAGGUGAAGAAGCUGAAACAAGGCGAUAAAGGGCCACAACAACCACAGCGGUGCAAAACGAGCAAGAGGUACGCCACACUGGACGGUAUUCUUGGCCACCGUCUAGCAUACUCGGGCCACCGGGUUCUGGGAGACGAUCGUCUGCUCCGAGAACACUCCACCGUCAGAUGAGUCUUCAAGCUACUGCACCAGAACCCGUGGAACGUUUCCUGUUGGAUCCAGUCACCCCUAACACAAGACCCAGCACCAGGGCACCCAGCACCAGUUUGUGUCGCUCCUGUUAGCACCAGUACCCCCCGUCGCCCUACACCAGCAAAGAGAAGGAGGCCUGAUUCCAGUAUCCUUUUAACGGUGGAAAACCUGCUGGAAUCAGAUGCUGAGCUGUAGUGAUUCCCGCUAUGGUGAAAUACUGAAAUUUCUUAAAGACCAAGCCAAAACAGAGGCUGAGGAGCGUGCAGCUUUGGUGGCAAGGGAGGAAGAGAUGAAGCGCUUCAAGGCUCACUGGAUGGAGAGUCUCCUGCGCAGCAUCGACAGGCUGACACCCAGGCAGGAGGACCUGUGAUUAACCCUUAUUUUUUAAAGAUGUGUGUGUGGUUUCUGCACUUUUAAAUAGUUUCCCCGCACAUAUACAUGCACUUGUACAUAGUUCAUAUGCACAUACGUGCACUUGCUAAAGGUUCAUAUGCACAUGUAAAUAGUUAUUCUUGGACUUGCACUUUUUAAUUUUGUAUUAACUUCACUGUUAAGCAUGCC